GUUGAGGCGUUGGUUUUUCCGACAGUUGGAAGCUGUGUAACUGAUUAAGAAAACCUGUCGUUUUCACUUUUCGAAACUACACUCAAUGCAGUUAUAGGGACUUUAACUUGGUGUCGUUUAGUGUCUGAAAUAGUCAACUGUGUGUCGUUUUUGUGAAAUUCUUUUAUCCUGGCCAGUACGAGCUUUGGUGAAGUGUAUACACAUCAAAUAAAGUGUGCACAAAAAAAACAAUGUAGAAAGGAGAACUCGUCUUGUGAGAACAAGUAUUACGCAUGCUUCCAGAAGCUACAUCAAAGGAAACUGAACUUCGCAAUCUUAAGAAAGUUAAAGAGUGCUGUCGAUAGAAAUGCAUAUUUCAUUUGCUCUGUUAAAAAAAACAGCUCAGAAACAUGUAACAGCUAACAAGUAGUACAAAUCCUCAUCUCACACACGAUAAAUAGUUUAUAAAGCAAACACAAAGGGAAAACAAUACUUCCUGAAAAUUGUAAUCGCGAAGUACUAAGAGUUUAAAUAUAGAAUCUUAAAGGAAGAGUAAUACCGAAAACAAGAACUAAGAAGAAAAGG